UAGGGAAUCUUCGGCAAUGGACGAAAGCCUGACGGAGCAACGCCGCGUGAGGGAAGAAGGUCUUUGGAUUGUAAAACUCUGUUGUCAGAGAAGAACAAGGACGUUAGUAACUGAACGUCACCUGACGGUAUCUCAUCAGAAAGACACGGCUAACUACGUGCCAGCAGCCGCGGUAAUACGUAGGUGGCAAGCGUUGUCCGGAAUUAUUGGGCGUAAAGCGAGCGCAGGCGGUUUCUUAAGUCUGAUGUGAAAGCCCGCGGCUCAACCGGGGAAUGGCAGUGGAAACUGGGAGACUAGAGUGCAGUAGAGGAAAGUGGAAUUCCCAGUGUAGCGGUGAAAUGCGUAGAUAUUUGGAGGAACACCGGUGGCGAAGGCGGUUUACUGGUCUGUAACUGACACUCAGGGUCGAAAGCGUGGGGAGCAAACAGG
rnacentral:rRNA from 1 species